GUAGGGGGCAAGCGUUGUCCGGAAUGACUGGGCGUAAAGGGCGUGUAGGCGGCGAUCUAAGUUAGGAGUGAAAGUCCAGCUUUUAAGGUUGGAAUUGCUUUUAAUACUGGAUGGCUUGAGUGCGGAAGAGGUAAGUGGAAUUCCCAGUGUAGCGGUGAAAUGCGUAGAGAUUGGGAGGAACACCAGUGGCGAAGGCGACUUACUGGGCCGUAACUGACGCUGAGGCGCGAAAGCGUGGGGAGCGAA
rnacentral:rRNA from 1 species